UGAAGAACUUGAGAGGGGAAAGCCCAUAGCUCCAAAACUCUUGAAAGCAAUCGAAGCAUCAAGAUAUGUAAUUGUCAUUCUUUCACGAAACUAUGCCAAUUCUACAUGGUGCUUGGAUGAGCUUGUAAAGGCUGUUGAAUGCAUGAACCUGAUGGGACAAACAAUACUCCCAGUUUUCUAUCAUGUGGAUCCAUCCGAGGUACGAAAACAGAAAGCAGAUUUUGGGGAAGCCUUCUCUAAGCAUGAAGAAACCUUUAAAGACAAUAAACAGAAUGUGCAAAGAUGGAGAGAUGCACUUACUCAAGUUUCCAAUCUCUCUGGGUGGCAUUUACACGAUGGGUAAGAACUGAAGCUUUCUUCUUUUCUUGUUUUUUUGUUCAUUUAUUUAUUUUUAUAGACAAUUAUAAUCCAGAGAGUAACUAUGACCAUAGAACUGUCAAAGUCUGGAAAAUAUAGAGAAAACAAGUGGAAAAAAUAGGGAGAAUGAGAACUUCCCUUAGGUUUUCUUAUUUCAUCUUGUUCAUGCUUUGUAUUACUUACAACACAUUUAUAAUUACAAACUAGGAGGAAAGUAUCCCCAAGACAAGCUCCCUAAAAUAAUCCGUAAGACAAGGAGACAAACUUUCCCUAAAACAAGGAGACAAAACUUUCCCUAAAACACGGAGACAAGGACUUGUGUUCCACAAGAUGACAAAUAGCUAGUCACAAGCUAACAAGAACUGGUAAGUGAAACAUUUGACCUAUUGCCACUAGUACUACCACAAAAAAAAAAAAAAAAAACUAACAAAGAAAAAGCCACUAUUCUGGUUUUAAAGUAUUUUGGGAACACUGGUUCUGAGUUAACUCAUGCAAUUUUGUGAAGCAUUCCAUUAUUCAUGCAAUUCUGUGAAGCAUUCCAUUAUCUUUGGAACCUCAUUGCUGCUGCAUGACUUACCAUGAGAUGAUUAUUAUUUUGCAGUUAUGAAUCAAAAGUUAUUCAAGAUAUCGUAGGAAAGAUUUUCACUGAAUUAAAUCAAACAAUCUCAAGUGUAUCCACAGAUUUAGUUGGGAUGGAUUCUCGCGUGAAAGAAAUGCUUUCUUGCUUAGACAUAGGGCUGCAUAAAGUUUGUGUCAUAGGGAUUUUGGGCAUUGGGGGAAUAGGUAAGACAACUGUUGCAAGAGUUGUUUACGAGAGGAUAUGUGCUCAAUUCGAAGCUUGUAGCUUUCUUGCCAAUGUUAGAGAGGUAACUGAAAAACAAGGCCUAGUUGAUUUGCAAAAGCAACUUCUUUCAGAUAUCUUGCUGGAAAGUAAUGUAAAUGUACAUAAUGUGUAUAAGGGGAUCAGUUUAAUAAGGCAGAGACUACGUGCUAAAACGGUUCUUAUCAUUCUUGAUGAUGUCGAUACGCUGGAACAACUGGAAGCAUUAUGUCAUCAGAGUUGGUUUGGUUCAGGGAGUAGAAUUGUCAUAACAUCAAGAGAUGAACAUUUGUUGAGCGCAUUUGGAGUGAAUAAAAUGUAUAAGGUUAAGGAAUUAAAUGAUUCUGAAGCUCUGAAACUCCUUAGUCGGAAAGCCUUUAAGAAAGAGCAAGUUGGAGAAGGUUAUCGCAAUCUGUCUAAGAAUGUUGUUGAAUACGCCAGUGGCCUUCCAUUGGCUCUUACAGUUAUGGGUUCAUUCCUUUUCGGUAAAAGCGUUAAAGAAUGGUCCAGUGCAUUGGAUAGACUAAAAGAAAAUCCCGAGAAAGGAAUUAUUGAUGUGCUUAAAGUAAGCUUUGACGCAUUAAAAGUCACAGAGAAAAAGGUAUUUCUGGACAUUGCAUGUUUCUUUAAAGGGGAGGACAAAGAUCGUGUAGCAAAAAUACUAGAAAGUGGUUGCGGAUACAGUCCAGACAUUGAUAUAAAAGUUCUCAUAGAAAAAUCUCUAAUAACUCUAUUUGGAAAAAAAUUGUGUAUGCAUGAUUUGAUACAAGAAUUGGGUUGGGAAAUUGUUCGUCAAGAAUGUCGUGAAGAUCCAGGAAAACGUAGCAGGUUGUGGCUUCCCAAGGAUAUCAUCCCCGUACUUGCAAAAAAUAAGGUUAGAAACUAAUACAAGUACAGUUGUUAAAACUAAUUAUUAAUGUCCUGCGUAUAACUUAUUUCUUGUUCCUUUUUAUUAGGGAACAGAUACAAUUGAAGGUAUAUUCCUCAACUUGCCGAAACAAGAGGAGAUUCACUUGAAUGCUGAUUCCUUCUCAAAGAUGUCCAACCUAAGAUUGCUCAGAAUUUGUAAUGUGGCCUCUCCUGGAUCCAUUGAAUAUCUUUCUAAUGAGUUACAACUUUUGGAAUGGCACGCAUGUCCGUUAAAUUAUUUGCCGUCAAAAUUUCAAUCAGAUAAGCUUGUUGAACUCAAAAUGCAUUUGAGCCGUGUCAAACAACUGUGGAAUGGAAAUGAAGUAAGAUUAUAUUCUUAUGCAUGUUUAUAUUAUUUAUGUAUCGACCAAAUGUUUGUUCUAAUUCAUAUGAUUAUUUUUCAAAUAUUAUCAGAGCUGGAGCAUGCUAAAGUGCAUCGAUCUGAGUGAUUCCCAAUACCUGAUCAAAACCCCAAACUUCACUAGGGCUCCAAAUAUUGAGAUGUUGGUGCUUCAAGGCUGUUCAAGAUUGGUUGAUGUUCACCCGUCCAUGGGAAUUCUCAAACAGCUUAUCUUGCUGAAUAUGAGAAACUGCAAAUCUGUAAAGACUCUUCCUCCUUUCAUUAGUUUGGAAUCUCUUCAAAGUUUAACUCUCUCUGCUUGUUCAAGACUCAAGAGGUUUCCUGAAAUUCAAGGAGAUAUGAAAACCUUGUUAGAGCUCUAUUUAGAUGGGACUGCUAUAGAGGAAUUACCUUCAUCGAUUGAACGUUUGACAGGUCUUGCUUUGUUGAAUUUAGGAAACUGCAAAAACCUUUUCCAUAUCCCAAGUACCAUCCAAUGUCUGACAUCUCUGAAAAGUCUCAUUCUAACUGGUUGCUCAGAACUUCAAGACAUACCUGAGAAUCUGAAUUGUGUGGAAUAUCUUGAGGAGCUUGAUAUAAGUGGAACUGCUAUAAGAAAAUCAUGGUUUGUUGUAGGUAUGAAGAAUCUAAAGUAUCUAUCAUUCCAAGGAUGUAAAGAUCAACCUUCAAAAUCAUGGCAUUCCCUGAUCUUUAAUGGUUGCUGGUGUAGAGAGGAAGUUGCCACGCGUUUGUUAUUGCCUAAUUCGUUCUCAAGUUUAACUUCUUUGGCAGAGCUGGACUUAAGUGAUUGCAGUCUGAUGGAUGGAGAGAUUCCCAACGAUAUUGGAAGCUUAUUCUCCUUAAAAAAAUUAAAUUUAAGUGGUAGUAAUUUUGUUUGCUUACCAGAAAGCAUCUCUCAACUCUCGAAGCUUGAAGAUCUCAAGUUGAUCAGUUGUCGUAAGCUAAAAUCUCUGCCUAAGAAGCUUCCAUUAAGUAUUCGACACGUGAAUGCAGAUGAUUGUACAUCACUGAUAGAUUCCCCAAAUAAAUUAAAAGUAUGGACUUCAGCUGUUUCGGGAGUGACUACUAUCAGUUCCUUCAUUUCAUCCAAGAAUCAAGAGUGUUCUACUUCAGAGAGAGAGUGGAAAUAUGGCAAGACUUGGACUCCAACAACUGUCCCAGGAUGUAGUACCAUUAGUUUCGUCAAAUCAGAUGAGCAUCAAGAAUGGAAACAAGUUGAUGGAUUUGUACUGCCAACUCAAUUGUUUAAAAAAGACCUAGAGGUCUCUCUCUCUCUCUCUCUCUCUCUCUCUCUCUCUCAAGUUGAUGGAUUUGUACUGCCAACUCAAUUGUUUGAAACAGACCUUCAGUAUAUGAUCUGUCUCUUCCAUAUUUAAUUAAUUAACCCUUUGUGUUUUACGUGACAGCUAUUGGAUUUAAGGUCAUGUACCUUACAGUCUGGCACUCCUCAAAGUGAAAUUCCAGAGUUUUUCAGCCAUAUAGUGAAUGGGGGAAACAUAGAAAUCCCGAUAUAUGCGAAUAUGAAGAAUGAUAGGAAGUGGAUGGGGGUUGCCCUGUGUGCUCUUUUUUCAGCCAAGGGAAAUCCUAUAGUCUCCCCCACUGAAUCAGAUUCAGAAACUUCGAAUUACUUCUAUCAGUUCCAAAUUGGAACUAAUAUAUUUGUACUGGUACCAGAUCCCGAUAGUGAUCGCAUAAUAGAUUUACAAACGCACUCUCAUUUUCUUUGUGUGUUCUAUGCAUCUUGGCUGCAGUUUCCAGUGUUGUUAAAUAAAUCCAGUCAAAUGUGGGCUUCAUUCAAUACCUCUAAUCCUUGCAUGGAGGUCCAGCAAUGUGGGAUUCAUUUAGUUUACGAGCAAGAUGUUGCUGUGUUUAUGCAAACAUUCAUGCAGUGUGCUUUUGGUACUGAACGCCAACCUGUACAUCAAACCCCAUUAGUUAUCGGAAAAGAAGAUCAAGAUAUCCCUUCUGAUGAUAACUCCACUCCAAAUGAAGUUGACAAAGCUACAUCUGAAUAUGGAUGGUUUAAUGUAGUCGAUAAAAUUUUGAGAUGGUAUGUAGAUUUCAAAUCUGGGAAUUCAUCAUUGAUAUGACAUUGUAUUCUCUCUUUUAUGUCCUUUGAUUUUUGUUGUUGUUUUUGGUAUGUACAUGUCUGAUUGCAGGGAGAAAUUAAUUCCAACUUCCCCAGAUGCCUCCAUAGUUCUGCUGAGAUACCUUCAGGUAUAUAUAUAUAUAUAUAUAUAUAUCUCUCUCUCUCUCUCUCUAAUCAACACACAUGCAUUAUUUCUGACAGAAAGUAACUAUUCCAUGUCCGCCUCUUUUAAUUAAAAGGAUAGCAGCUCUUAUAAGUCAGUUGGUUAGUUGUUAAACAACAGAAUUUUUUACUUAGCCAGGCCUUGUCCAAGACACUAGUAUAUACAUAAACUGAUGAAAUAUCUGAAUUACUUAAAUGUGACAUGAAAUCAAUGAAAUACAUAUCACAAUUCUCUCAAAUUCUCCUUCUUCAGCUAAAUAAUUACUAACAAUUUAUGCGCACAUUUCACAGGGAUUAAACGAAAUGCAGCAACCCUAUCGCUUUUUCAUAAGUGGAAGCCCAGCGUGGUUCAACCCUAAAAAGGGUUCCUCCGUGUCAAUCGAGCUGCCACCAAAUCUUCCCCAGAGUAACAAGUGGAUGGGAUUUGCUCUAUGUGCCUCUGUUGCAGUGGACCACCGGCGUAUAGUAAAAGAGAGUUUUGGUUUUUCUUGUCGACUUCAAACGGACAAAUUUAAUACUGAGAUGUUCAUAAGCUCAACCAGCAUACAUGAUAAAGAUCAACUUCACAUUAUUUACAUUCCGCGGGCACAUUUUAAUGAGCGGUUCGUGGCUAUAUCCAGUAGCAUCAUCAGCACUUCCUUUACAACGGAUAGCCCUGGUGGUGUCCAUGUUCAAAUUUGUGGGCUUCGUAUCUUGUACCAGCAAGAUUUACAAGGGUUUGUCCAGGCAAUCACCCAAUGUAUAUUGCGCAGCUCUUCAGAUUUUGCAAUUAAUUGUAAUGAACAACGAGUGGUACAAGAUUGGAUAAGUUUGAUGACAUUGCACAGUCGUAAAGUUGAGACAACUGUAAGGGAAAGGGAUAUUUCCCGAGAAUCAAGUCAACUAACUGCAGAAGAGGGCUGUGAGGGACAUUUCAGUACCACACACGAAUGGGAGCAGUUUCAGUUGAUGUCUCGACAAUAUAGAAAUAUGGUCUCUCUCUCUCUCUCUCUCUCUCUCUCUCUCUCAUAGCGCUCACAUGACAUGAUCACAUUUUUAUUUACAGGACUGGUCUGUGGCUCAAUUUGCAUGUCACUACUCUGGAAUAAAAAUUCCUAAUUGGUUCACGUUGACACAAAAUUUGCAUGAAGGCUUAGGCAACUCUGCAGAAAUCCAAGUGCCCCAAAAUUUGUACGAGGAUGGCAAUUGGAAAGGGAUUGCUAUAUGCGCACAUAUGUCCAUCCGUGAACAUCCCACCAUCAUUCUUGACACUCCCGACUCAGAGUUUACUCGUGAGCUCUUUUGUCAUCUGGACACCAACUUUUCUGGGGUCAAAUUCCGACUUGUAGAGCGUACAAAUGACAAAGCCAUGUGGUUGAAUAAUGCCUGCAAUUUCAGUUGGUUCAUCUACAUGCCACGUGCUCAGUUUUCUGAAUCCUUGAAUCAAUGCAAUCUAGUCAGGGUAACUUUUGGGUCCAAUAGCUCAGGCUUAGGCGUGCAUAAUUCUGCCCUUCGUCUAGUAUUUAACAAGGAUUUGGAGCAGCUUAUACCAACAUUGGCCAGCUGCCGCUUAUUUUCAGACCGCCAAUGUCUUUAGCGGGCUUUAUACCUGUUUAUAUUUUCAACUCAAUUUCUCAUCAUUUUUCAAAUAAAUUUAUUCUAGUUCUUUUUUUGGGUGAAAUAUGUUGUGCUUAACUUUUCUCUUAUGUUCAAUGCAACUGCGAUAUUUCAAUUUCUUUGGGUUUAUUUGUGUAUAAACUCAGUAAACAUGUUCAGACCAACAAAAAAAAAAAAAAAAAACUCGGUAAACAUGAACCAAUUGAAAAAUGCGUUCUAUAAGUUGAUGAGAGUUUUUUUUUUUCAAAAAAAAAUUUACUAGCCUCUCUGCACGCGCUUUAUAAUUUAAAAGCGCAUGCUGAGAGAGGCAUUUUUUAAUCACGCAUGCUAGAAAUUUUUUAUUUUAUUUUGAUAGAUGCCCAUCUCAAAAAUUUCUUAAUUUAACGGUGCACUUAUGAUUAAUGGCAUGUAUUUUUCUAGAAGUGCAUUUUAAAAGUCUAGGGAAAAUACAUAGAACGCACAUCUAUAAAUAUACAUGCCAUUAAUCACACGUGUGCCAUUAAAAUAAGAAAAUUUUGAGACGGGCAUCUGUCAAAAUACAAUUGUAAAAAUAAAAUAUGUGAUUAAAAAAGCCUCUCGCACAUGUAGAAGCUCGUGCAGAAAGGUUAGUCUAAUUAAUAUUAAGAGUUAAGGCGAUUCAUAUUCCACAACACAUUGAAAUACUUCACACUAUGAUAAACACAAUUUUGGGUCUAAAGUGGCUUUAACAAUGUAAAAUAGGAGGACUAUAUGCGAACAGGAGGACAUAGAAAUGAUAUCUUGUUAAAUUCACUCUCUUGCAUAACAAUAUUGACUGAGGAAGACAAAAGAAUAAACAUGAGUAAAUGAAUUUAUGCAAGAUUGCCCCAGAUAUUUAAAUCUGUGCAACCAUGGAUGGCCUCUCCCCUUGUAGCAAUUGUAGCCUAUUGGUAGCCUAGCUCAGUAAAGAAAUGACCUGCAUAAAUGAAGCCAACAUCAGAGUACAUAAGAACUUUCUUUCUAUAUACAGAAAAGGCAAACAACAAUAUCCAAUUAGAGCAACUGGCCCAAUUUUAGGAAAACGAAUACAAAAAUCAAACAUAAAAUUAAAGGAAAAAAUAAAGAAAACUACAAUUGCAAACUGAGUUCCUUGACUCGUUUAAAGAGUGGCAUGACAGGUUUAGUAAGAACAUAGAUGGUAUGCUUGGUGGUAGAAGCACCCAAAGUUUCAUGAGCUUAAGUACUGUGAAGUAAGGAUAUAAUAUUUGGGUAUCUAACCUGAAACAAAAUCAUAUUCCAACUUAUCUAUCCUGAUUGGAAACUUCAAAAUACAAAAUAGUUUCCAACUAACCUGAAAAACAUGAAAUAUAUAGUUUCCUCUACUUCUUUUGCUUCAGGUAUGGAACGGAACCCUUAUACCGUCAGAGAGGUGAGAGACGAUUCCAUCUGUUAAGAUAAAAUUCCAAAGACUUUAAUUUCAUAAGUCAAGCAAAACAUUCAAAUUAGAGACAGAGAUAAUUAGAAAUGCAAACAAAAGCAUCCAUAUAAAUAUCAUUAAUGACAAAAGCAUUUUUAGAAAUCAAAUUACAUAGUUUAUACAAAUUUUGACAGGAAGAAUGAGAACAAUAUAAUUGAAGAAUUCGAUGACAAUGGCUUUAAAACUGGAUGGUUUAGCAUACAGGAUAACGUUUGGAGAUGGUAAAAUUAUUUGUCUGAGAAGUAUGUAUGUUGCAUCGUAAUAAAUCUUAAUUUGACCUUGCAUAUUACAUUUGAAUUUGAUUGCAGGGAGAAAUUAAUUCCAGCUUAUGAAGAAGGUGUUGGUCCAGCUUAUGAAGGUGGUGUUCGAUUACCAUUUUCGUGUAACGUUUGGAUAAGGUGUAGGGCUUUCCUUGCCUUUCUGGAGUGAAGUUUCGAAGCAGGAACAGCAGAGGAAACAGAGGAUCCGACCAGUCAGACGAGGUUGGGUGGCCGGUAGUGUUACUCCGAGAAAAAAUGUGAAACGUACUUGUGUAUUAAGCCCUUGCUUAUUCUGUUUUCAGUACAAGAUCAAUAUGAUUUUUCUUUGCUUUUUGCAUCUCUCAAUAUUUUGACACCAAAGAAGAAAAAACAAAACUUCAAGUAGACUAUGCGAAUUGUAUCUCUCAAUAUCUCACAAUAAUUAAUACUGGACACAUUGUUCAGUCUGAAGUAGCCCUUUAACUUUUAAGCUUUGUUUGGAUUUUGAUUCUCUGAGUGUUUGGCUUUCAAGAUUCUGGACUCUGUCUCCGUCUCCGCACCAUGUGUUCGUUUUGGUCUUCAUCCACUCUGCUUUGUUAUUGGCUUCACUUCCAUCAUCAAUCCCAUUAAUUGGUGUGUGAGGAGUGACCUCAUGAAUCAUGAUCCAAGUGAAGCAAUAACAAACAAGAGUGCCUUGUAGCCUUAGUCAAUGUUCAAAUGUGAUUUGAUAUUUUGGUUUUGGGUGGAAGAAUACUUUGAUCUUUCUCUUACAUACUGGAACAGAGCAACAUCCAGAGCAGAAAAAAGAACUACUAGUUUUUAUUUUAUAUUGUUUUUAAUUUCCUGUGGAUCAAAAGCACAUGUCCAGUUGUAAGUUGUGCCGAGACAAGAGUCAAAGUCUUAGUUAAAGAGCAUUUGGAGGGAUCAAUUCACGUCGGUCAAGCUUUUCGCUGGAAGGUGCCUCCAGCAAGGUUUAGACUUUAGAUGACAAGCCCUUACCUUACCGCGCCACUUGCACUUCCUCCUCAACCAUUGACUUCUUCACCAAAUACCAGAAUUCUAUUGAGCCACUCGCACUUCAAAUGUGAUUUCAUAUUUUGGUUUUGGGUAGAUGAAUCAUCUGCCUCAAAUAAUUGAGGUGGUACUUUGAUCUCCUGGAUCACAUUCUUAUCAAAUUUUGCUUACACACCAUAACUCUGUUAUCUUCUUCACCAUAAACAGACCACGCACUAACCCUUCACUUCCUCAAUGAUCACCCAAAUAGAUAUUCCUUCUUCCUCUUCCUCUUCUUCUCCUCCGACCCCUCGAUGGACAUACGAUGUGUUCCUCAGUUUCAGAGGAGAAGACACCCGCACAAAUUUCACAGACUUUCUGUAUACUUCUCUGAUACAGAAAGGAAUAUUCACAUUUAGAGAUGAUGAAGAACUUGAGAGGGGAAAGCCCAUAGCUCCAAAACUCUCGAAGGCAAUCGAAGCAUCAAGAUAUGUAAUUGUCAUUCUUUCACCAAACUAUGUCAAUUCUACAUGGUGCUUGGAUGAGCUUGUAAAGGCUGUUGAAUGCAUGAACCUGAUGGGACAAACAAUACUCCCAGUUUUCUAUCAUGUGGAUCCAUCCGAGGUACGAAAACAGAAAGCAGAUUUUGGGGAAGCC
rnacentral:lncRNA from 1 species